rnacentral:rRNA from 1 species
AUGAAUCCACCGGAAGAGAAGGCGGCAGAGACCGAGAAGGUGAACACGGAGCCGGACGGCGACACGCCGCCGUUGUCUGGGAAGAAGAGGAAACAGGGGGAGACCGCUAUUGUAGAAGACGAACUUUGCCGCUCAGCGCUGACCACGCCGCCGCCUGCUUCCCCACCGGGAUUGUCUGGCGGCUUUUUCGACCCGAAGCCACAGCACUCGCCUGUCCCAGACGCACACGACGGCGACAGCGCCGACUGGAAGGUCUCGCAGAAGGUACUAGAGUGCAUCGUCACGCCGUCGCGGGACGACAAGUUCGCGGCGUCGAAGCCCUCCGACGUCGUCGCGUCGACCUAUGUAGCAAUGCUCCAGGCCGCGAACUACGUGUCCUUCUCCUCCGGCUACGCGCUGGACCUGGACGAGAAGCUGGUGGCGCGGGAGCGCGACAAGGUGGCCCUGUUGGAGCAGCUGGACAAGGAGAAGGCGGCGAGGCAGGCCACCGAGGCGGAGCUGGAGAAGGCGAAGGCCGAGCUCGCGGCGGUGAAGCGGGCAACUCUGCAGAGCGCCAAGGCGACGGCGGUGCAGCAGUUCCUGGGGUCCGAGGAGUACAAGCGGCGGCUCGACGAGCACGCCGCGGCAGGGUACGAGAGCGGCGCGGAGGAGAUGAAGGGCGUCGUGCUCCGGCAUUACCCGCGCCUCGACGCCGCCAAGCUGGUCCUGCCGCUUGAUUAG